AUUGAACGCUGGCGGCAGGCCUAACACAUGCAAGUCGAGCGGAUGAAGGGAGCUUGCUCCUGGAUUCAGCGGCGGACGGGUGAGUAAUGCCUAGGAAUCUGCCUGGUAGUGGGGGAUAACGUCCGGAAACGGGCGCUAAUACCGCAUACGUCCUGAGGGAGAAAGUGGGGGAUCUUCGGACCUCACGCUAUCAGAUGAGCCUAGGUCGGAUUAGCUAGUUGGUGGGGUAAAGGCCUACCAAGGCGACGAUCCGUAACUGGUCUGAGAGGAUGAUCAGUCACACUGGAACUGAGACACGGUCCAGACUCCUACGGGAGGCAGCAGUGGGGAAUAUGGGACAAUGGGCGAAAGCCUGAUCCAGCCAUGCCGCGUGUGUGAAGAAGGUCUUCGGAGUGUAAAGCACUUUAAGUUGGGAGGAAGGGCAGUAAGUUAAUACCUUGCUGUUUUGACGUUACCAACAGAAUAAGCACCGGCUAACUUCGUG
rnacentral:rRNA from 1 species